rnacentral:rRNA from 1 species
AACGAACGCUGGCGGCAGGCUUAACACAUGCAAGUCGAACGCCCCGCAAGGGGAGUGGCGCACGGGUGAGUAACGCGUGGGAAUAUGCCCUUCGGCUCGGAAUAACACAGGGAAACUUGUGCUAAUACCGGAUACGAUCUACGGAUGAAAGAUUUAUCGCCGAGGGAGUAGCCCGCGUAGGAUUAGCUAGUUGGUGAGGUAAUGGCUCACCAAGGCGACGAUCCUUAGCUGGUCUGAGAGGAUGAUCAGCCACACUGGGACUGAGACACGGCCCAGACUCCUACGGGAGGCAGCAGUGGGGAAUAUUGGACAAUGGGGGAAACCCUGAUCCAGCCAGCCGCGUGAGUGAUGAAGGCCUUUGGGUUGUAAAGCUCUUUCGCCAGGGAAGAUAAUGACGGUACCUGGAAAAGAAGCCUCGGCUAACUCCGUGCCAGCAGCCGCGGUAACAC